CCCUUAGAUGUUCUGGGCUGCACGCGCGCUACACUGAUGCAUUCAACGAGCCUAUCCUUGACCGACAGGUCCGGGUAAUCUUUGAAUCUGCAUCGUGACGGGGAUAGAUUAUUGCAAUUAUUAAUCUUCAACGAGGAAUGCCUAGUAGGCGCAAGUCAUCAGCUUGCGUCGAUUACGUCCCUGCCCUUUGUACACACCGCCCGUCGCUCCUACCGAUUGGGUGUGCUGGUGAAAUGUUCGGAUCGGCCGUUUGUCGCGGUUUCCGCGUCAUGUGGCUGAGAAGUUCAUUAAACCCUCCCACCGAGAGGAAGGAGAAGUCGUAACA
rnacentral:rRNA from 1 species